GGAACCGUAGUUCACCGGUCAGAACGCGACUCUUAUAAAGUCGAUGUAGGAGGUUCGACUCCUCCCGGUUCCA
rnacentral:tRNA from 4 species